CACCAGCGCCACGAGUGGGAACCACGUUUAUUGGGCCUAAAGCGUCCGUAGCCGGUUUGGUAAAUCUUUUGUGAAAUUGUACAGCUCAACUGGACAACGUGCAAGAGACACUGCCGAACUUGAGACCGGGAGGAGUCAGAAGUAUUCCGGGGGGAGCGGUAAAAUGUUAUAAUCCCCGGAGGACUACCUGUGGCGAAGGCGUCUGACCAGAACGGAUCUGACGGUGAGGGACGAAAGCCAGGGGAGCGAA
rnacentral:rRNA from 1 species